UCCGUAGGUGGAUUGGUCAGUCAGAGGUGAAAUCCUGCAGCUCAACUGUAGAACUGCCUUUGAUACUGCCGGUCUUGAAUUAUUGUGAAGUGGUUAGAAUAUGUAGUGUAGCGGUGAAAUGCAUAGAUAUUACAUAGAAUACCGAUUGCGAAGGCAGAUCACUAACAAUAUAUUGACACUGAUGGACGAAAGCGUGGGGAGCAAACAGGAUUAGAUACCCUGGUAGUCC
rnacentral:rRNA from 1 species